GAGGGUAUAGCUCAGUGGUAGAGUGCAUGCCUAAUGUGCAGAAGGUCCUGAGUUCAAUUCCCAGUACUGCCA
rnacentral:tRNA from 1 species